rnacentral:tRNA from 1 species
GCCUGAGUGGUUCAGUCAGUUAAGCAUCCAACUAAGCGUCUCACAGUGCGUGAGUUCGAGCCCCACGUCGGGC